GCCAAUCUCAUGGAUACAGCAGGCCUGUCACCUGACACUUCACUGUCACAUGACAUCAUGCACCUGCCAUGUUUGAAGGAUGGAGUGUAGGAUUCUUUUCCCAGUUUCAUGAAAGAGUCAAUCUAAUGACUGCCUGGAGCCACAUAACAAUCAAAGCAGGAUCAUCCUCUCCUCACAACCCCCAGAGAGAUACAGAGAGAAUAUGGAGAGAUGGAUCUAAGGUCAUAGCUCUGCUGUUCUUAAGCUCCAUGGGAAUAAAGGUCAUGAACAGAGAAU